AUUUAUAUCCAAACCAGUGUCCACCAAAGUAGCGUUUAUCCAAUAAGUUUAAAAAAACUCACUUGUACAUAUAUUUUUCAAGCAACACUCACCCUUUAGCAGCAACACCUUACACGUCUAUUUCCGAGAAAACUUUGCCAAAAUGUCACACUCCAAUAUCAAGUUUAUCAUAAUCGUCAUCGUCGUCCUGACCGUGUCGUUGCUAUCCAUGCAGUCCCACGCUAAAGUCAUCACUAAACGCCAAGCUGGAGAUGGGGAGCGGUGCAGGGGAACAUUGACCGGUAUGUAUGUUCCAACGACGGUGUGCAAGGAGACGUGCCGCGGAAUGGAGUUGAUGUCAAAAUGUCCAGGAAGUCAAAAAUGCUGUUCCGUCGUUGAAGACUUUGUUGCUAAUUGGGUACCAGGAGUGCUACCCGAACCCGCUUAAGACCCGAACCCGGCAAAUAAUUUGCAUAGCUAAAUAUAUAUAAUCUGCAUACAUAUUUAACUGACCGAGAUAUCUGUUAUCUUGAUAAGCCCAUAAAAAAAGCAUAUCUGAAUUAAUGCACUGUUGUUCAAAAAAAUAAUUAAUUAAUCUUGAGCAUGCAUGUAUAUAAAUUGCGUAGCAAAUAUGUAUUUAUAACUGGUUGGUGUUCUUUUUAAAUAAAUUUGCAAAUUACU